UGUAACGCUCCUAUUUCUAUUAAAGCAAUUAGACAUGCGAAUAAUACAUUUAUUCAAGAAAUAGAGAUUACGUCUUAUUCAAAAUUAAAAAAAAAACGAUAGACAUGUAUGUAAACCUCAACAGUUACAGCGGAAUACAAAUCAGAGUGAUCAAAUAUAUACAUGCCAUGAGCAAAUAAAUCAUAUCCCAAAGAUAAAUCUCAAAACCCAAACAUACGGGUAGUCAUCAACAAAAUAAUAAUUCAAAGGAAAAAAAAUAUAACAACCUAAUCUAGACCGACACGACAAGCCUAGAUCAGAGCCGACACAACACCGAUAUCGGAGGAAGCUCCCGAUAUCCCACGCAAAGACUCACCGAGACUACUCCUGCACAACGUCUACUCACCCAUACAGGCAAGUAGGCGGUUAAAACCAUUGGGGGUAAGCAUUACAUUAUCAUAAUCCAGAUAAUAAUCAAAACAGAUAAUAUCAUGUACUUGAAUAAUAAUAGUCAUGCAUAAAUAUUUACAUCACCACUUGAUAGUUCGUAUCCACAUAUAUCAAUCACAUGAAUAAUUUAUCCAAUCACAAAUAUUCAUUCACAACAUCAAUCAUAGACAAUCAUUAUCAACAUUCAUUCAUCUCAAUUCAUCACCAAUCACAUAAUUCACAUAGGACUCAUGCUAUGAUAUGCACUUAUGGACACAUAAAUGCAUGUGGUACCAAAUCUCAACAAGGUCGUCACCUUUCGAUGCCACUUGCACAUCGAAUGUAAGGGCUCACACCUGCCUUACAAUAAUCUCGAAGUAAAAGAGUCAUCCCUUUUACAGCAACAACGACUAUGAUGCAUGGACAUGUAUAAGGACUCGAUAAUGCGACAACAAUUCACAAUCUCAACUCAAUAUAUAGGACAACACCCAAUUAUAUUGAUUAUCUCCACAACAUUGCAUUAUCAAGAAAACAUGCCCAUACACAAUUAAAUCUUAGUAUUCACCAUCACACUUCAACAUGAUUAUCAAUAAUCAACAAUGUCAUUCAACAUCAACUAUAUCAUAUAGUUUCACCAUUUCAAGCAUUUCUCAUAUUCCAAGUAAGAGAACAUACAACAUCUCAUGACAAACAUCAUAUCCGACAUAUAAUCAUUCAACAUCAACUAUCACAUAUAGCUCACCAAUUCAAGCAUUCUCAUAUUCCAAGUAAGAGAACAUACAACAUCUCAUGACAAACAUCAUAUCCAACAUAUAAUCAUUCAACAUCAACUAUCACAUAUAGCUCACCAAUUCAAGCAUUCUCAUAUUCCAAGUAAGAUAGCAUAUACAUCUCAUGAUAAACAUCAUAUUCAAUACAAUCAUUCAUUCAUACAAUUUCACUUAGUCAUACAAGAAUAAUCUCAAUAACUCACAAGACAAUUUGCUAAAGAAACAUUUCCAACAAAGUCCAAAUCAUGUGGCAAACGGCCAACAUUGAUAAUUUUCAAAGUUAGGCAACUUAUUCAAAUUUGAAAUCCUACAAUUCAAUCUUAAUCAAUCAUGUAGCCAAGGACUUAAGCCAUUUACAAACUAUUAGAAAUUAGUUCAAAGGAUAGCUCAAGUUCGUAUGAGAAAUUCCAAGACAAAACAACAUUUAGCUAAAAACCCGUUUUCACCGAUUCAACUCAGCCCAAAAUAUUUCUUAAACCAUCAACACAUUCACAUUCCCAAAUACAUAAAUGCAUACUCAAUUAUUCACUCUAAGUACUUCAUUAAACCCAAUAUCAAGUUUGGAAAAGUUCCACGGCUCAAAGAAAAAGUUAUGAUAAGUUUUCACAAAAAAUCCGCAUGACCCAUGUGUAGUAAUUUGAUCAUAACUCAAGUUCUAAAAAUCAUUUGGACGUCAACCCAAGGCCAUUAGAAAGCUAACAAAAUUACCUAAAACUUUCAUGUUUACAUCAAAAUCCAAUUCAAAGCGGAAAUGGGUGAAAAAUAGCGAAAUAUGCAGGAUCUGGUUCGCAGAAAUCGUGUCACGACUUUACGUCCAGAAACACUGAAUUUUCGGCCAACAAAAUCGUGACACGCUUACCAAAUCGUGACACGUUUUGCCAGCAUCAAGUCCAGAAAUAAGUUCUUCAAAAAGUGCGUUUUUCACCAUUUCGCGCGUAAAAUUCAAACCGUUAAUCGGAUUUUGAUGCCGUUUUCGCCUACACGCUCCUGACACUUGACUCUAACAUGAUCUACAAAAAUUUCAUGUUUUAACCAUCCCAAAAGUCAUUUUCCAAAACCUCACAUAAUCACUUAUUGGCGAAAACGCUUAAACAUCGACAUUUCACACGAAAAACCCGUUUUCUCCCAAACGACUCAACUAACAUAACCACAACAUGAAAACAGAAAUUCUCAUAGGUUCAAUUCAUCCAACAAUAACAAAAUUUCAGUCAACAACCAUAUAUAUAUAUAUCAAAGUUCACUUUGGUCCUUCACCUGAACACUUAACUCAACUUCACCAAUUUCACAAAACCACCAACAACAAUUUAUUUCUCAUCAUCAAUCCACAAUUAAGUAUACCCAAAUCAUGAUUCACUCACAAUAGCAUCAGUUAACAAUAACCACAUCAAUGGAAUAUGAAUCACAUCUCAUUUCAAUAAAAACAUAUCAAAUUUCAUCAAUUAAGAAUAAUUUCAUAACUUAACAUUUAUACAUACUUUGAAACAUGUAAUUUCACCCACAAACAUACCAUAAUCAUCAAUUCAUGCACAAGAAAAUAGCAUCACAGCAAGAGCACGAAUUUAGCAACAAUUGUUCAUCAACCCAUUUUCAUACAACAUGAGAAAAUGCAAAAAUUGUACAUGAUUAUGAUAAUAACUAACCCCCUUACCUUAGAAGAAGAUUAACCCAAACUCUUGCUUCAAUUUAGCUCCUAAGCUUACCCAAUUGGAUUCUUCAAGUUCUUCUCUCCAAAACCCUUUUUCUCUUCUCUUCAC
rnacentral:lncRNA from 1 species